UACGAAGGGGGGCUAGCGUUGCUCGGAUUGACUGGGCGUAAAGGGCGCGUAGGCGGUUCGUACAGUCAGACGUGAAAUUCCUGGGCUCAACCUGGGGGCUGCGUUUGAUACGUGCGGACUUGAGUGCGGAAGAGGGUCGUGGAAUUCCCAGUGUAGAGGUGAAAUUCGUAGAUAUUGGGAAGAACACCGGUGGCGAAGGCGGCGACCUGGUCCGAUACUGACGCUGAGGCGCGAAAGCGUGGGAGC
rnacentral:rRNA from 1 species